UACGGAGGGGGUUAGCGUUGUUCGGAAUCACUGGGCGUAAAGAGCGUGUAGGCGGAUAAAUAAGUUUGAAGUGAAAUCCUGUGGCUCAACCAUAGAACUGCUUUGAAAACUGUUUAUCUAGAAUAUGGGAGAGGUAGAUGGAAUUUCUGGUGUAGGGGUAAAAUCCGUAGAGAUCAGAAGGAAUACCGAUUGCGAAGGCGAUCUACUGGAACAUUAUUGACGCUGAGACGCGAAAGCGUGGGGAGCAAACAGG
rnacentral:rRNA from 1 species